rnacentral:rRNA from 1 species
UACGUAGGGUGCGAGCGUUGUCCGGAUUUAUUGGGCGUAAAGAGCUUGUAGGCGGCUCGUCACGUCGGGUGUGAAAACUCGCGGCUCAACCGCGAGCCUGCACCCGAUACGGGCGGGCUAGAGUUCGGCAGGGGAGACUGGAAUUCCUGGUGUAGCGGUGGAAUGCGCAGAUAUCAGGAGGAACACCGAUGGCGAAGGCAGGUCUCUGGGCCACUACUGACGCUGAGAAGCGAAAGCAUGGGGAGCGAACAGG